rnacentral:sRNA from 2 species
AGCCAUCAUUCAACUCCUAAUCAGUUGGUUGUGGUUAGCAGGUUGCCAGUGUUGACGCACUGACAACUUGCGAU